UACGUAGGGGGCGAGCGUUGUCCGGAUUCAUUGGGCGUAAAGAGCUCGUAGGCGGUUCGGUAAGUCAGGUGUGAAAUCUCCACGCUCAACGUGGAGGGGCCACCUGAUACUGCCGUGACUCGAGUCCGGUAGGGGAGUGUGGAAUUCCCGGUGUAGCGGUGGAAAUGCGCAGAUAUCAGGAGGAACACCGGUGGCGAAGGCGGGUCUCUGGGCCGAUAUUGACGCUGAGGCACGAAGGCCAGGGGAGCAAACGGG
rnacentral:rRNA from 1 species